AUUGAACGCUGGCGGAAUGCUUUACACAUGCAAGUCGAACGGUAGAGGGGGCAACCCCUCGAGAGUGGCGAACGGGUGAGUAAUAUAUCGGAACGUGCCCAGUCGUGGGGGAUAACGUAGCGAAAGUUACGCUAAUACCGCAUACGAUCUAAGGAUGAAAGCGGGGGAUCGCAAGACCUCGCGCGAUUGGAGCGGCCGAUAUCAGAUUAGGUAGUUGGUGGGGUAAAGGCUCACCAAGCCAACGAUCUGUAGCUGGUCUGAGAGGACGACCAGCCACACUGGAACUGAGACGCGGUCCAGACUCCUACGGGAGGCAGCAGUGGGGAAUUUUGGACAAUGGACGCAAGUCUGAUCCGGCCAUUCCGCGUGCAGGAUGAAGGCCCUCGGGUUGUAAACUGCUUUUGUACGGAACGAAAAGGUCUCUCUUAAUACGGGGGACUCAUGACGGUACCGUAAGAAUAAGCACCGGCUAACUACGUGCCAGCCGCCGCCGUAA
rnacentral:rRNA from 1 species